rnacentral:rRNA from 1 species
AUUGAACGCUGGCGGCAUGCCUUACACAUGCAAGUCGAACGGCAGCACGGGAGCAAUCCUGGUGGCGAGUGGCGAACGGGUGAGUAAUAUACCGGAACGUGCCCGGUCGUGGGGGAUAACGCAGCGAAAGCUGCGCUAAUACCGCAUACGAUCUGAGGAUGAAAGCGGGGGACCGUAAGGCCUCGCGCGAUCGGAGCGGCCGAUGUCAGAUUAGGUAGUUGGUGGGGUAAAGGCUCACCAAGCCAACGAACUGUGGCUGGUCUGAGAGGACGACCAGCCACACUGGGACUGAGACACGGCCCAGACUCCUACGGGAGGCAGCAGUGGGGAAUUUUGGACAAUGGGCGAAAGCCUGAUCCAGCAAUGCCGCGUGCAGGAAGAAGGCCUUCGGGUUGUAAACUGCUUUUGUACGGAGCGAAAAGGUCUCCUCUAAUACAGGGGGCUCAUGACGGUACCGUAAGAAUAAGCACCGGCUAACUACGUGCCAGCAGCCGCCGUAA